rnacentral:rRNA from 1 species
UUUUCACCGGAGCUUGCUCCACCGGAAAAAGAGGAGUGGCGAACGGGUGAGUAACACGUGGGUAACCUGCCCAUCAGAAGGGGAUAACACUUGGAAACAGGUGCUAAUACCGUAUAACAAUCGAAACCGCAUGGUUUUGAUUUGAAAGGCGCUUUCGGGUGUCGCUGAUGGAUGGACCCGCGGUGCAUUAGCUAGUUGGUGAGGUAACGGCUCACCAAGGCCACGAUGCAUAGCCGACCUGAGAGGGUGAUCGGCCACAUUGGGACUGAGACACGGCCCAAACUCCUACGGGAGGCAGCAGUAGGGAAUCUUCGGCAAUGGACGAAAGUCUGACCGAGCAACGCCGCGUGAGUGAAGAAGGUUUUCGGAUCGUAAAACUCUGUUGUUAGAGAAGAACAAGGAUGAGAGUAACUGUUCAUCCCUUGACGGUAUCUAACCAGAAAGCCACGGCUAACUACGUGCCAGCAGCCGCGGUAAUACGUAGGUGGCAAGCGUUGUCCGGAUUUAUUGGGCGUAAAGCGAGCGCAGGCGGUUUCUUAAGUCUGAUGUGAAAGCCCCCGGCUCAACCGGGGAGGGUCAUUGGAAACUGGGAGACUUGAGUGCAGAAGAGGAGAGUGGAAUUCCAUGUGUAGCGGUGAAAUGCGUAGAUAUAUGGAGGAACACCAGUGGCGAAGGCGGCUCUCUGGUCUGUAACUGACGCUGAGGCUCGAAAGCGUGGGGAGCAAACAGGAUUAGAUACCCUGGUAGUCCACGCCGUAAACGAUGAGUGCUAAGUGUUGGAGGGUUUCCGCCCUUCAGUGCUGCAGCUAACGCAUUAAGCACUCCGCCUGGGGAGUACGACCGCAAGGUUGAAACUCAAAGGAAUUGACGGGGGCCCGCACAAGCGGUGGAGCAUGUGGUUUAAUUCGAAGCAACGCGAAGAACCUUACCAGGUCUUGACAUCCUUUGACCACUCUAGAGAUAGAGCUUCCCCUUCGGGGGCAAAGUGACAGGUGGUGCAUGGUUGUCGUCAGCUCGUGUC